CGCGGUUUCAACUUUCAACUUUCGAAAUACGCUAUAAAUCACUAUCACUCUAAACUCCUUAAGUCUGACCACUCUUUUAAAUAAGGACAAUGAGAGCCUGGACGCGCGGUCGACAGAAUCAAGCCAAUCUUACUUUCGUGUUGCUUCGUACGCUCAUUACUUUGGCAAUAACGACUCAAUUGGUAUUUGAUAUGUGAUGGCAGCCAAGAAUGUAACAGCGAAAGUUGACCAUAUGCACGGUAUCAUAAGACAUGAUUUAACUCAAAUGGGCGGAGAUAGUAACGCACAACAAAGUUGGGAGUGGAUGGAUGGGACUAAAUUAAGAUUAACCAACAGAUGACAGAUAUAGAAGGAGGUAACAGCUAGAAAUCGUAAAGGAACUACAUUAGUUAAGGAAAUUGGAUUCCAUCGGGAACGAACGGACGAACGAGGCGACUAUAUCAAACAACACGUUUAAUAGCCUUUUAAAACUUAGAAAAUCAAUGAGGAGCGAAUUCGAUAACUGUAGU